rnacentral:rRNA from 1 species
CCUACGGGGGGCUGCAGUGGGGAAUAUUGGACAAUGGGGGCAACCCUGAUCCAGCCAUGCCGCGUGUGUGAAGAAGGCCCUCGGGUUGUAAAGCACUUUCAGUGAGGAAUAACGCCUGGUGGUUAAUACCCAUCAGGAAAGACAUCACUCACAGAAGAAGCACCGGCUAACUCCGUGCCAGCAGCCGCGGUAAUACGGAGGGUGCGAGCGUUAAUCGGAAUUACUGGGCGUAAAGCGCGCGUAGGUGGCUUGAUAAGCCGGUUGUGAAAGCCCCGGGCUCAACCUGGGAACGGCAUCCGGAACUGUCAAGCUAGAGUGCAGGAGAGGAAGGUAGAAUUCCCGGUGUAGCGGUGAAAUGCGUAGAGAUCGGGAGGAAUACCAGUGGCGAAGGCGGCCUUCUGGACUGACACUGACACUGAGGUGCGAAAGCGUGGGUAGCAAACAGGAUUAGAUACCCCUGUAGUC